AUUGAGAGUGCUUGAUAUGUGUGGACAGGAAUGAAUCGUCUGUCUAUAGUUGUUUUCAGUCCAUCUCAGUAUGUUAUAGUUUUUAUAAUUUUUCUCCGAACAGUACCGAAAUGUUUAGAAUGGUUCUAAUAAAUAGAACCAGAGAAGAAACAGAAAGGAAUGAAUGAACAAGGGCCUUUUGUCAAAUGAGUCUAGAGUGUGAAAUCUUUGGUCACUAAGAGUCAGUUGAUCUGGAGUCAUCAUACCAGAAAGACGUACCUUCUGCAUCCGAUAAUAAAUAAUUAAAGUUGAUAGUUAAAUCGUUUUUAUAUUAUUGAGACAAUCCCUAUCCAUAAUCCAAUAGAUUCCUUUAUCUUUAUAUGGCAUCUUAAUAGGUGACAUUUUUGUUAGUGUUAUUAGCACGAGCUUUGAAGUUGAGAUGAUAGUCAACCUCAUCCCCCAGAUCAACGAUCAAAGGUUUAGUUCUCCUACUCCAACAUCUGGCGUUCAACCCACCCACCAAGUCACGAAUAAUGGGAAAAUAAACAUACAAAUGGAAAGGAGUCGAGGACCUUUAUUUGCGAUUGGAAAAUAUAUUGACUCAGGCACUCAGUAAACUCUGUAUCUUAAAAUUUGAGAGCAGAUCUUUGGAUUUUUUAAAAUAACGUGAGAACUUCAUCCGUCAAUGCUCCCUGUCUGAUGUUGGGAGAUGAGAGUGGCCAUCGAAGAUGGUUAAAGGGACUUCAGGGGGCUCAACUAAACCACACCACGCACAUCUGCGGUUAUAAGUUUCACGCAAUAUGCCAGACACCUUGUGUAAACUUAAUGGUCACGUUGGAAUUACCGCACGGGCUUUUUGUUUAUUUUUCGGGUCAAGGGGACGAGGAUGAGGGGAGAGGAAUACUUGCAAUGCGAUCUGAAGAAUGAAUGGAAGGCUUCGAGGAAUUGACAAUUCGAAGUAAUCUGGGCACUGAAGCUGAUUACAAGGAAUUUAAUGCUUUUAAAUUUUGUUUCAUUAUUUAUACAAUACCAUCUGUUGAGUGAGAACCACGUGAUUGAAAUUUUUGGCUGUUUGCGUAUUGUUCCGUUAAUGGCCCAGGGUAAUGUUACAAGACUAUUUUUAUCGAGACUUUCUUGCAAAUAAGUUUUGUAUAAUAAUUUUGUAUGAACUUAUGAGAACUUCUUUAAACUGUAUUUUUUUAAAACGACCAUUAUCAAAUAAAAUUUGAAAAAAAUCGAACAGAUAACCAAAAUCAAUUUUUUGAUGAUAGUCAUCUGCAGUUUAUGAUAAUAAAUUCGAUUGAAAUUUGAGGACAAUCGUAUUGA